AUUCAAAAUAAAAAUAUUGCAAGUUUAAGACACUGUUUUAGUUUAAUAUAUGGGGAAGAUAGGUUUGUCUCUAAUAUCUAAUAUUAAAAGGUUUGUCUCUAAUAUCUAAUAUUAAAAGAAUUCUACUUCCAAUUAAACAUGUAAACUUUAAAGCCACUUUCAAUACAUAAGAAAAAUGUACAGGUUGCCAAUCAAUUUAAUAUAUAUAACUAAUGAAAGGAAAAAACUUAUCGAACACAAAUCAUUCACAAUAAUAUAUGUUGUAUUUAAUUUCAUAAAUAUAUUUGGGGUGGGGUUGGGUGUGAAUUUUGAAGCAUACUCACUAUUUACACCAUCCUUAAUGUUUAUUAUCUAGAACUCUGUUUACAAUUUGUUUUCAUAUUAUUUUUUGUCAUUUUUAUUUUUUUUAAAGAGUUCUAGGUAAUAAAAAUAUUGGAUGUCUAAGGUUCAAGGUGUAAGCAUGGAUAAGAAUAUUGCAAAUUUAUGACACUAUUAGAGUACAAUAAAUAGAGAAGAAUAGGUUUCAUCUCCAAAUAUCUAAAAUCAAAAGAAUUGUACGUAUAAUUAAACAUUCUCAAUUAUAAGUUUUAAAUUUCAUAAAUAUAUUGGUGAAAAAAAAGAAAAUUUUAAAUAUGCCCACUUUUUACACCACCCUUACUGUUUAUGAUCUAGAACUCUGUUUGAAUUUUGUUUUCAUGUUAUUUUUCACAUUGUUUUUUAACAGAGCUCUAGAUAAUAAAAAUAUCAGAUGUCUAAGGUUAGACACAUCAACACAAGCCAUGUGUUUUGGUUGAAGACAAAUUUACAAGUUGCAAUAUUUGUUUCAUCUCUCUCCCAACUCAUCAUUAUAAGUGUUCUCCCUCUCCCUCUCUGACCAUUCUAUAUCUUUCUCUCUCUCCCGCUGACCAUAUACUAUUAUGAAAAUUCAUUCAUAUUUAAUUGACAAGAAUAUAAGUCUUGGACGUGUUGAUUGUUUUUCUAUGCUGUUAAUAAUAUGUUGUUCUAUGUUCAUCAGUUGAUUCAGCUCUAACCUCUAAGUUAGUGAUAAGGUAGCUGCUAUGUUGAUUGUU
rnacentral:lncRNA from 1 species